rnacentral:rRNA from 1 species
UUAGAUACCCUAUUAUACUAAUAAAAUUUCAGAUCAUUAAUAGAUAUAUUCUUUAAAUUCGAAGAAUUUGGCGGUGGCUUAGUCUUGUUAGAGGAACCUGUUUUUGAAUCGAUACACCACGUUAAAUUUUUACUUGUUUUAUUUAGUUUGUAUACCGUCAUUAUCAGAUAAUUUUGAAAAAGGAAAUUAUUAAAGUUUAUAAAAUAUAAGUUAAAUUAGAUCAAGGUGCAGCUUAUAAAUAAGCUAAAAUGGGUUACAAUAUAUUAUAUGUAUAUGAAGUAAUAUUAAGAAAAUUAAUUAUGAAGGUGGAUUUAAUUGUAAUUAAAGUUUAAUAAACUAAAAAGAUAUAAGCUCUAAGCCAUGUACAUAUCGCCCG